AUGAAGGCGCUUUUACCAUUGACCUUUCUGUUUUUUAUUGGUUCUCCAGGUUGGGCAAUAGAUAGGCACUACUACAUAGGCAUUGAAGAAAGCAUUUGGAACUAUGCUCCUUCUGGUAAAAAUAUGCUCAAUGGAAAGCCUUUUUCUGAAGACCUAGAAUUUCUACAAGGAGGUCAAGCAAGAAAGAGCUUUGUUUUUAAAAAGGCUUUGUAUUUUCAAUAUACUGAUAAUACAUUUCAAAGGAUCAUUGAAAAACCAUCCUGGUUGGGAUUUUUAGGUCCAAUGAUUAAGGCAGAGACUGGAGACUUCAUUUAUGUACAUGUAAAAAAUAAUGCUUCAAGAGCUUAUAGUUAUCAUUCUCAUGGGCUCACCUACUCCAAAGAAAAUGAAGGUGCUAUCUAUCCUGAUAAUACGACAGGCCUGCAAAAGGAAGAUGACUAUCUGGAGCCAGGGAAACAAUAUACCUACAAGUGGUAUGUAGAAGAACAUCAGGGACCCGGCCCCAAUGACAGUAAUUGUGUGACAAGGAUUUACCAUUCCCAUAUAGACACUGCAAGAGAUGUAGCUUCAGGACUUAUUGGACCAAUUCUGACUUGUAAAAGAGGGACACUGAAUGGAGACACUGAAAAAGAUAUUGACAGGUCUUAUUUUCUGAUGUUUUCCACAACUGAUGAAAGCAGAAGCUGGUAUAGUGAUGAAAAUAUUCGUGCAUUUACUGAAUCUGGCAAAAUUAACACUAGUGAUCCCCGUUUUGAGGAGAGCAUGAGCAUGCAAUCAAUAAAUGGAUACGUCUAUGGAAAUCUGCCCAAUCUCACCAUGUGUGCUGAAGAUAGGGUCAAGUGGUAUUUUGUUGGCAUGGGUGGCGUGGCUGACAUACACCCCGUCUACCUCCAUGGACAAACUCUGAUCUCUCGGAAUCACAGAAAGGACACCAUUGUGCUCUUUCCCUUCUUACUGGAAGAUGCCUUCAUGGUGGCCAAGGCCCCCGGAGUGUGGAUGCUGGGAUGCCAGAUACAUGAUCAUACCCUCAAGCCAAGUAUGCAGGCAUUUUUCAAAGUAAGUAAUUGCCAGAAACCUUCAACAGAAGCCUUCGUUACUGGGACACAUGUUGUACAUUACUAUAUUGCUGCUAAGGAAAUUCUUUGGAACUAUGCUCCAUCUGGUAUAGAUUUCUUCACUAAAAAAAAUUUAACAGCAGCUGGAAGUAAAUCUCGGUUAUUUUUUGAACGAAGUCCAAACAGAAUUGGAGGAACUUACAAAAAACUGGUUUACCGUGAAUAUACAGAUGCUUCCUUCCAAACACAGAAGGCAAGAGAAGAACACCUUGGAAUCCUUGGCCCUGUUAUUAAGGCAGAGGUGGGACAGACCAUCAAAAUCACUUUCUAUAACAAUGCUUCCCUGCCACUCAGCAUUCAGCCUCAUGGACUGCAUUACAACAAGAGCAAAGAGGGCUCAUUCUAUGAAACACCUGGAGGAAGUACCCCUCCACCCUCUUCACAUGUAAGUCCUGGCACAACAUUUGUCUAUAUAUGGGAAGUUCCAAAAGAUGUGGGUCCCACCUCCACAGAUCCCAACUGCUUGACCUGGUUCUAUUACUCUUCAGUAAAUGGGAAAAGAGACAUCAACAGUGGCCUUCUGGGGCCUCUCCUUGUAUGUAGAAAUGGAAGUCUUGGAGACAAUGGCAAACAGAAAGGAGUAGACAAAGAGUUUUACCUACUUGCCACAAUAUUUGAUGAAAAUGAAAGUAAUCUCUUGGAUGAAAAUAUCAGAACAUUUAUCACAGAGCCUGAAAACGUAGAUAAAGAGGAUCCAGACUGCCAAGCCUCAAAUAAGAUGUACUCCAUAAAUGGAUACAUGUAUGGAAAUCUGCCUGGAUUGGAUAUGUGCUUAGGAGACAACGUUUUGUGGCACGUUUUUAGUGUAGGAUCAGUGGAAGAUUUACACGGGAUAUAUUUUUCAGGAAAUACCUUCACUUCUUUAGGAGCAAGAAAGGACACAAUACCUAUGUUUCCUCAUACUCCUCAGACGCUUUCAAUGACACCUGAUUCUAUAGGAACUUUUGAUUUGGUUUGCAUAACAAUAAAGCACAAUCUAGGAGGCAUGAAACAUAAAUAUCACGUGAGGCAAUGUGGGAAGCCAAACCCUGAUCAAACACAAUACCAGGAGGAGAAAAUUAUUUACAUUGCAGCCGAGGAAAUGGAAUGGGAUUAUUCUCCUAGCAGAAAGUGGGAGAAUGAACUCCACCACUUAAAAAGAGAGAACCAAACGAGCAUGUAUGUGGAUAGAAGUGGAACACUUCUUGGGUCCAAAUACAAGAAAGUCUUGUAUCGUCAAUAUGAUGAUAACACGUUCACAAAUCAAACAAAAAGGAAUGAAGAUGAAAAACAUCUUGAUAUACUAGGUCCAUUAAUAUUGCUCAACCCUGGUCAAAAAAUUCAAAUUAUCUUUAAAAAUAAAGCCUCAAGACCGUAUUCUAUUCAUGCUCAUGGAGUGAAAACAAAUAAUUCCACUGUUGUUCCAACUCAGCCAGGAGAGAUUCAAAUAUAUACUUGGCAGAUACCUGAUAGAACUGGUCCUACCUCACUGGACUUUGAAUGCAUACCUUGGUUUUACUAUUCAACUGUAUCUGCGGCUAAGGACCUUCUCAGUGGCCUGGUAGGCCCUCUGAUUGUAUGCCGCAAAGACAUCAACCCCAACAUAGUUCACCGUGUUCUCCACUUCAUGAUAUUUGAUGAGAACGAAUCCUGGUACUUUGAAGACAGUAUCAACACCUAUACUUCAAAACCAAACAAAGUGGAUAAGGAAGAUGAUAAUUUUCAACUCAGCAACCAAAUGCACGCAAUUAACGGAAGAGUGUUUGGAAAUAACCAAGGUCUAACAUUUCAUGUUGGGGAUGUAGUGAAUUGGUAUCUGAUUGGCAUGGGGAAUGAAGCUGACCUGCACACAGUUCACUUUCAUGGCCAUAGCUUUGAAUAUAAGAAUUGGGGAGUGUAUCGAUCUGAUGUGUAUGACCUUCCUCCUGGGGUCUAUCAAACUGUAAAAAUGUAUCCAAGAGAUGUUGGAACCUGGUUAUUUCAUUGCCAUGUUUUUGAGCACAUUGGUGCUGGAAUGGAAAGCACUUACACUGUACUUGAAAGAAAAGGGCCGAUGGAGCAGAGCCUCUGAAGCAGAGAAAAGAGAGUCUGCAUGAACAGUUUCUCAGAAUCUUCUCUCAAUAUCAGGACUACGUUUGUCAACAAAACCAAAAACUGAUUAGCCACCAGUAUAAUUUUUACCUACAACAUCCUAUUAAUGUCAAUAAUAUCAUUAUUGAUACAAUUCUAAUAAUCAUUACCCUUAUUCCUAUCAGUGUUCAUGCACAUUCUUAGUAAAAGAGACUUUGGUGCACUGUCCAUAAAA
rnacentral:sRNA from 1 species